UGCAGUUCAAUCGCCUUUAAGCAGCGUCUGUUUUCACGUUCGCCCUCAACCUAUUUUGUCCUACUGAGAGACCCUUCAGUCUCCAUGACAACACAGCUGCUGUCAUAAGCUAACUCGCUAACUACAGAUUGUUUUCAACUGCAAACAAGUAAAAAUCUGGCCUUUUCUACUGUUUAGGACAAACCCCCGAUCCUACCUUGAACGUGGUAGCGUUGCUAUCCGUGACUCAUUUAUGAGAGUAUAGGAACACACAGAACGAAUUCCCAGAGAUGUGAGCCUUGUAACCAUUACAGAUGUCGUCUCAGAAAGAGACAAUGCAAGUGCUGCCUAUUUGGGAGCUUGCCAUCCCUCUCCCAGCGGUGCUGAUGAUUACUGUGAGUUUUUACAUGAUCAUCCUUGGAAUUGGGCUGUUGAUCCGAUUCUGUCUCAAGGUUGGUACUGCUAACAUAAAAAAAAGAGCAGUGAGGCCUUUGUCUUCACUAUAGUUUGUAAAAUGUAAAUAAAUAUAUGUUGUUUACUGCCACUUGCACUUAAAUUAGAAGCCGGGUUGUGGAUGGAAAGCUGCCUCUAAAACCUCUGGUUUUGAUUUAUAAAUACCAAUAUGAGCAUAAAAUUCAACUCACCAUUUGUUUUAGAAUGUGAAAAGUUGUGGUUUGGGAACUGCACUGCACCAGACCCACAGUGCACUGCUAGGACACCUCUAUCAAAGGAAAUUUUUCUGAGGGUUUUUUCUCAGAUGUUGUGGACAUUUGGGGAAAUGGCCAGGCCAUAGGAUUGGUUAACUGUCACUGCAGAUCAUCAUAUUUUAUAAAAACACAAUGUUAUUCUAUUGGAAUAAUUUUUUGGAUGCUAUAAUCAUAUAAAAUUAUACACAAAGUGGCCUUAAGGGUUCAGAGUAGUUUGGUCAUCUUAAAAAUACAGGACAGUAAAUUCUUAUUACUUAUAUUAUUGGUGGAGUUAACCCUUAUCCUAACCUUUAUUGUCAUUGUAACAUGUACAACAAAAUUUUAGAGUGACCUCCAGUUGGUACAGCUAUAGAAAAAACAUAAC